rnacentral:rRNA from 1 species
AGCCUUCAGCAAACCCAAACAAGUAUUGAAGGUGAUGCCUGCCCGGUGACUCACGUUCAACGGCCGCGGUAUCCUAACCGUGCGAAGGUAGCGCAAUCAAUUGUCCCAUAUAUCGAGACUAGUAUGAAUGGCGAAACGAGGUCUUAACUGUCUCUUACAGGCAAUCGGUGAAAUUGAUCUCCCUGUGCAAAAGCAGGGAUAAACCCAUAAGACGAGAAGACCCUGUGGAACUUCAAAACCAGCGACCACCUUAGAACACAUACCCACCUACCAGGUUCACUGACACAUAAGGCUUGGUCUCCGUUUUUCGGUUGGGGCGACCUUGGAGCAAAACAAAACCUCCAAAAACUAGACCACACCUCUAGACUGAGAGCAACCCCUCAACGUGCUAAUAGCACCCAGACCCAAUAUAAUUGAUCAAUGGACCAAGCUACCCCAGGGAUAACAGCGCAAUCUCCCCCGAGAGUCCGUAUCGACGGGGAGGUUUACGACCUCGAUGUUGGAUCAGGACAUCCUAGUGGUGCAGCAGCUACUAAGGGUUCGUUUGUUCAACGAUUAACAGUCCU